CAGGAAACGCGACACAAGAUACAAGAGCGCCGCUCGCAAACGCAGUCUUGACAGGUUCGCCCUGGCUUUUCCAUUACGUCAACAGCACAGCAGCAUCCCGAAAGCCGCGCUUCCAUUGGUUGUCUGCUUCGGCAGCUACGCAGCCAUUGGUCGGACCUGUAACUGUCCGAGCUACAUGUUGCAGCGAGUGAUGCCAUUUUGUUUUAGGAACAGGAGAAGAGAAAGGAGACGUUGAGGCGCCCCAUUUUGCUCUGCUACUUGCGCUGUUUCAGUGUCGCUAUUAUUUCCUGCUUCACUUCUACAUCGUACCGUACACCGUACCCAUCUGCGCAGCCAGCGGCCGAGGGAAACUAUCCAUCGCUUGUGCCGGGGAAGUCGAUUUGCGGCUUCUGGGAGCGCUGCACUCCGCGGUGGAUGGAUGUUCGGCUUGCCUCGUUGGCUCAUGAAAACCUCGGAGCCCGAGCAGCCGAGACGAGCAGAGAGAAGCGGAGCGGGAGCGACGAGGACCUGGAGCCGCGCCGGACUGCGGCGCCCGAGAGCGAGGCCAGCUGACACUCUCCUGACAACAAAGAGGUG
rnacentral:lncRNA from 1 species